AUUGCAAUCUAACCACUUAUAUUUGCCAUUUUAUAUUUAUACUUUUUCGAUGUGAGAUUUAUAAUUUUAACACUCCCCCCUCAAGUUCAACCAUAUAGUUGUCACGUGACAGUUAGUUUGUAUUUUUUAACCAAAUAUGAGCCAAAUUAUACAGCCUUAUGGGUGGCUGAAACCCAUAACUCACUUUGGGCUCUGAUACCAUGUUAAAUUUG
rnacentral:misc_RNA from 1 species